AAGCCUUUGGGCAGCUGUGAUGACAGGAGUGAGAAAGUGGCUGGGCAACACCCACUGUCGAGGCCUCCAGUGACUAAGCUCAUCAGACCCUGGGUCUAAAGACGUCUAAUGAACAGGCUGGCCACUGGGCCACCCGUGGUGGGGCCCUGCAGGCUGCCCCUCAGAAGGACACAGGAGGCUCCCUGCAAGCAGGAGGAGUUACUCGAGGCUUGCUCUGGACCUCAGCCUUGCCCCUUUCUCCUGCACCCCAAGUGGGGCUUCCCUGAACUUGGGCACAGCAGCCCCUUGAGGGAGGCGCUUGGGAGGGCAGUGCUCAGAGGGAAACAAGGAUGCUCUCUCACCUGCUGCUCCAGCUUGGUCCUCCUGACACUCAUAGGCAGCCAAAGACAUUCUCUCCCCUGCCCAGGAAUGUGGCACCCACUCCCUCCUUCAGGAACCCCACGAAGCCACGCGGCCUAUGCCAGCAGCAUCUUGGCCCGUGGGGCUGUGGCCCACGCCGUGUCUCAUUCCAAACUCCUCAAUCUCUCCCAUUAGCUGAGAUUGCAGGUUCAGAGCACAAACAUCGCCACCUGUCACUGCAGCCGCAACUCCUCCGCCAGCCGGGAAUGGUCUCGUCUCCUUCAAUCCAUCACGGAGGGUUUCUAUCGCUCUCCCUCUGUGAGCCCUUCCCCCAGCGCCUGGCCCAGGGGAGUUGCUUCGCUGCCAGGUGGGAGGAGAGAGGCGGCAGGAAGCCCAGGGCAGGGACCUCUCAGGCCUUGAGCCUGGUAGUACCUGGAGAACCCAGCCCCGACCAGAGAGCACACCUGCUUCAGACCCAGAGGAAGCAAAUGAGGUGGUGGGAACAGAGGGGUUAGUUGCUCAGUUGUGUCCGACUCUGCAACCCCAUGGACUGUAGCCAGCCAGGCUCCUCUGUCCAUGGGGAUUCUCCAGGCCAGAAUACUGGAGUGGGUUGCUAUGCCUUCCUUCCGGGGAUCUUCCUGAUCCAGGGAUUGAACCUGAGUCUCCUGCAUUGCGGGCAGACUCUUUACCAUCUGAGCCAGCGAAGCCCCCAGCAGGAGCAGAGGGCUUCCCUAACACUCCCCAGGCGUGGGAUGUACACUUGCUGCCCUUGGAGAUGAAGUCACUGUAAUCUGGGGGCCUCAUCCCUGGGCUUUCUGACUCCGGGUAUCUGGGGCAGAGCCUGAGAACCUGCAUUUUUUAACAGAGCUGCUCCAUGUGAUUCUGAGGCCAUAGGUCCCUGGAUCCCAACGUUGAGCAACUUGGUUGAUGGAGCCUCUUAUCAGUAGGUUAGGCCGGAUGGUGCUGUUGUAACAAACAACCCCCACACCCUCAGGGGCUUAAUACUAUAACGAUUCAUUUCUUGCAUCUCCAUGCCCAAAGCUAGCUGGCUGGAGGUUUCUUUCACUGAGGUUAUUCAGAAACCCAUCUGAGGAAACUCGUCUAGACCAGAUUUCUGUGAUUGCGGUGAGGAGCACAGCUGGGGGGUCCAGCGGACAAGUGCUCAAGCCUGAAAGUGACACAGAGCACUCCUGCCCACAACCCACUGGCCAGAACUAAUGCUAGCUAGCACCCUGCCCAGCUUUGAGAGGAUGGGGAGAAGUAACCACCCCCCGCCACGUGUGCCAGGGGAGAGAGAGAGGAGUGGGAUACGGGGGAACCAUCUGGGCAUUCCCCCUGGACGGCACUGAGGCUGAAAGCCCAGCCCCCGCCUCUGACGCCUGACCCACUGGCUGCAGCCCAGAAGACACGAAGGAAAGCACGAGGGACUAAUGGGUUGGCGGGCUCCCAAAGGAAAGACACUCUUGACGCAUGCAGACCCACAGCCUGGAGGCAGCAUCGGCCCCUUGAAGGGCAGCACCGGCCCCAGCUCCACGUAUGGCUGGCAAAACCGAGUAGCAAACCGAGGAGCAGCCCAGAUCAAAGCGAGCCCCACUGCUGCCGGUUCAAAAUCACUCCAUGGC
ensembl:lncRNA